rnacentral:rRNA from 1 species
AGCGAACGCUGGCGGCAGGCCUAACACAUGCAAGUCGAACGAAGUCUUCGGACUUAGUGGCGGACGGGUGAGUAACACGUGGGAACGUGCCUUUAGGUUCGGAAUAACUCAGGGAAACUUGUGCUAAUACCGAAUGUGCCCUUCGGGGGAAAGAUUUAUCGCCUUUAGAGCGGCCCGCGUCUGAUUAGCUAGUUGGUGAGGUAAAGGCUCACCAAGGCGACGAUCAGUAGCUGGUCUGAGAGGAUGAUCAGCCACAUUGGGACUGAGACACGGCCCAAACUGCUACGGGGGGCAGCAGUGGGGAAUCUUGCGCAAUGGGCGAAAGCCUGACGCAGCCAUGCCGCGUGAAUGAUGAAGGUCUUAGGAUUGUAAAAUUCUUUCACCGGGGACGAUAAUGAUGGUACCCGGAGAAGAAGCCCCGGCUAACUUCGUGCCAGCAGCCGCCGUAAGAC